rnacentral:tRNA from 1 species
ACUCUUUUAGUUUAUUUUAAAAUGUAACUCUGAAGAGGUUGAGAAAUUUUUGAGUAUUGAAAAAUGGUA